CAGUGAAUGAUCAGGAAAGCAUGUCUGUGUUCGUUCAGAGUAAUAAUUUGUUUGAUUUCUUUGCCAGUGUCCCUCACUCCUUCCCAAUUCAGCGAGCAGGCGGUUUUCCGGUCUAUGGGAGCAGCAAGAUGCCAUGAAAAUUAACGCCGCGGCUCUGCGUGAUGUAAUUUCUAUUUGGCGCCAUAAUUUAGACCCAUGGCAUACCAAACUGGCCUAAAGUAAACAUCACAGGGUGCCAACGAGCCCAUUUUAUUUAUAUUCAGGAUUUGGAAUUUAUGGCGGCAUCUUAGACGGUUUUGAUACGCGACAUUAAAAAGGCCCUUGGGGCUGAUGUUUAGGUGGCGGCUCUCGGGAUGUCAGGCCCCGCAUUCAAGACAUCAACAACUGACGAAAAAUAUUACUGAUCGCCAGUGCUCUGCUGACGCACAGGCACUGAAUCACAUAUUUGUGGUUUUGUUUAAAAGAAUGCGCACAUUAACCUUUAAAGUGUAUGUUCGUAUUAAAACCUUUGAAGAUUUUACAAACUCCUUUCCUCUCUUGUCCCUUCCGCUUGGCCUUUCUUUCCGUCUCUCUCUCUCUCUCUCUCUCUCUCUCUCUCUCUCUCUCUCUCUCGCUGCCUUUCUCCCCUCUCUAUCGCUUUCUUUCUUUCCCUCCCUCCCUCUCUCUCUUUCCCCUCAUCCCUCCUUCCCUCUCUCUUUCUCACUCCCUCUCUCUUUCUCCCUCACCCUCACCCUUUCUCUCUCUCUCUUUCUCCCCCCACUCUCUCUCUCUCUCUCUGUCAUUCACACACACACACACACACACACACACACACACACACACACACACACACACACACACACACGUACCUAUAGGCAUUACGCUAUUCACACCAACAUCUGCCCAAAAAUACUCAUCUCGGUGUUCGUGCGGUCCCACGUAUACGUACUAUUGUACUAUUACACACAAAUGGUAGAGUUUUAUUUUUUAUCAAUCGGGGACGCUUACAACGGGGUUUAAAUGCGAUUUUGAGAAACGCCCUUUACCACCAGAAACCUUUCGACGUUUUGAUCUUCAGGAAGGGUGGCUUGAAGGCGUUUGCAAUCUACUCUGCCGUAAAGAGCCUGUCCUAUAAAUUACUCAAGGUAUUAAUUUGUACUGAGAGUCCUUUGUGGUUUGGACAAAAAGAAAAGGCUCCUUUUCAGCUUAAAAUAAAGUCACCUUGCCGCA